rnacentral:lncRNA from 1 species
UGUAGUACAAAAUAGGUACAUGACAUGUUCCAUCCAUGAGCAAUAUGAAACACGACAUGGUUUUUUUUUUGUUCACGACAUGUUCCAUCAUGAGCAAUAUGAAACAUGACAUGCCUUUUCUUUUUGUUCAGUUAGUGCCUAAAAGAAACCAUCCUUUUAUAUCUAGUAAAACGUGAGUUCUAUUUUCCUGCCAAGCCAUGCAUCGGUUGCUCAUAAACACCUGAAGAACUUACCUAUAUGGGACGUCGUCUAGUGUUGCCACUACUCAUAGCACCUGAGAAACCUACCUACUGUAGAUCAACAAAUCCCACCCCUUGUUGAACCAUGCAAUAUUAAUUGUUAACCCU